rnacentral:rRNA from 1 species
AACGAACGCUGGCGGCAGGCCUAACACAUGCAAGUCGAGCGAGGACUUCGGUUCUAGCGGCGGACGGGUGGGUAACGCGUGGGAAUGUGCCCUUCUCUACGGAAUAGCCCUGGGAAACUGGGAGUAAUACCGUAUACGCCCUAUUGGGGAAAGAUUUAUCGGAGAAGGAUCAGCCCGCGUUGGAUUAGGUAGUUGGUGGGGUAAUGGCCUACCAAGCCGACGAUCCAUAGCUGGUUUGAGAGGAUGAUCAGCCACACUGGGACUGAGACACGGCCCAGACUCCUACGGGAGGCAGCAGUGGGGAAUCGUAGACAAUGGGGGCAACCCUGAUCUAGCCAUGCCGCGUGAGUGAUGAAGGCCUUAGGGUUGUAAAGCUCUUUCAGCUGGGAAGAUAAUGACGGUACCAGCAGAAGAAGCCCCGGCUAACUCCGUG